UACCGUUGGAACCGCGAAGCCCCGUCCCCCGGCCGCGGCCGCUUCUCCAGGACCCGCGGCGACUGCAAGAGGGCGAGAACGGAAGCCCCAAGUGGCUCCGCGAACCGCGAGCCUCUCCCUGAGGCGGCCGCUGACAGGAGGUUGAAGCGACGGCUGCAGCAAGGGGCCAGCCCGGUAGCGACCCCCGGAUUCCCCCCGGCGGUGGCGGCGGAGACGCGAAAGAAGGGGCGGGAGCAGCAACGGAGGCGGCAGCUGAGGCGCUGAGCCUCCCUAACGGCGAACGGGAGGAGAGGGUAGGGCGAGGGCGGGGGCGAGGGGGCCGGGCCGGACGUGACGUGCGUGGGAGGGGCGGGGCGGGGCGGGGCGAGCGUGGCCGGCGAGCGGGAGAGCCCACAGUGACCCCAGCCCACAGCCGGGCCUGCCACGCCUUGGAUUGGCGUGCCAGAACCUCUGAGCUGGCCCAAGGGAGGAAUGUGGGGGUGCUCGGCUUUGAGGGAGGUUGUGAAGAAAGAGAAACGGAGGAGACAGAAAUGAUAAAGGGGAAAUCAGGAGGAUUGAGGCCGGUCCUGAUUUCUGAGGAGAGGGCCAGAAAAGCGCGUGCCCAGAUCUGGAAUGCUUUUGGAAUAGGACCAAAGGGAACAUAGUGUGGAUUUCAGCUAUGUUCACUCCGGAAGCCCCUGGUGCCAGUCGAAUCCAGUUUGGGGAACCAAAACAAUUGACAGGAACUGUCAUCUUUGCCAAGACCACAUUUUUGACUUGAUAACUUGGAAUUCAAUUUACAACAAUAAAGUAAGCCAAAGUGAUCAUUACUUAUAAGACUAAUUUGGUUUGACUUCCUGAUUAAUUUCCUAAAAUCAGCUAGGUACUUUUUUUACAAUCAGAAAUUUUAUUGGUAGAAAUAAAUAGCAUAGAGACCAAAUGUGGUGGCACACACCUAAAAUCCCAGCACUUGGGAGGCUGAGGCAGGAGGAUCACCGCGAUUUCAGGGCCAGCCUGGGUUAUAUAAUGAACCCAAGGCCAGCCUGAACUAGCGAGACCCAGAG
rnacentral:lncRNA from 1 species